ACUCCUGCGGGAGGCAGCAGUGGGGAAUAUUGCACAAUGGGCGCAAGCCUGAUGCAGCCAUGCCGCGUGUAUGAAGAAGGCCUUCGGGUUGUAAAGUACUUUCAGCGGGGAGGAAGGCGAUAAGGUUAAUAACCUUGUUGAUUGACGUUACCCGCAGAAGAAGCACCGGCUAACUCCGUGCCAGCAGCCGCGGUAAUACGGAGGGUGCAAGCGUUAAUCGGAAUUACUGGGCGUAAAGCGCACGCAGGCGGUCUGUCAAGUCGGAUGUGAAAUCCCCGGGCUCAACCUGGGAACUGCAUUCGAAACUGGCAGGCUAGAGUCGUGUAGAGGGGGGUAGAAUUCCAGGUGUAGCGGUGAAAUGCGUAGAGAUCUGGAGGAAUACCGGUGGCGAAGGCGGCCCCCUGGACAAAGACUGACGCUCAGGUGCGAAAGCGUGGGGAGCAAACAGGAUUAGAAACCCUAGUAGUCCC
rnacentral:rRNA from 1 species